rnacentral:rRNA from 1 species
ACAAUGACUCUCGGCAAUGGAUAUCUUGGCUCUCGCAUUGAUGAAUAACGUAGCAAAAUGCGAUACUUGGUGUGAAUUGCAGAAUACCAUGAACCGUCGAGUCUUUGAACGCAAGUUGCACCCCAAGCCAUUAUGCCAAGGGCACAUCUUCCUGGGCAUCAUCC